AUUCCAGCUCCAAGAGCGUAUAUUAAAGUUGUUGCAGUUAAAAAGCUCGUAGUUGGAUUUCUGGUCUAAUGCGCCUGGCCCGCUGCCGUUAGGUAUGUGAGUGCCGGUGCGCGUUUACCAUCCUUCCAGAGAACACUUCUACCAUUUAUUUGGACGGAUGUUGUCUUCUGGAUCUUUUACUUUGAAAAAAUUAGAGUGUUUAAAGCAGGCCUUUGCUGUGAAUACAUUAGCAUGGAAUAAUAAUCUAGGACUUCGGUUCUAUUUUGUUGGUUUCUAGUACUGAAGUAAUGAUUGAUAGGGGUAGUUGGGGGUGCUAGUAUUGGCCGGCCAGAGGUGAAAUUCUUGGAUUCGGUCAAGACUAACUUAUGCGAAGGCAUUCACCAAGGAUGUCUUCAUCG
rnacentral:rRNA from 1 species